rnacentral:rRNA from 1 species
AAUACGUUCCCGGGCCUUGUACACACCGCCCGUCAAGCCAUGGAAGCUGGGGGUACCUGAAGUCGGUGACCGCAAGGAGCUGCCUAGGGUAAAACUAGUAACUGGGGGCU